AACGCACCUUGCGCUCCUUGGUAUUCCACGGAGCAUGCCUGUUUGAGUGUCACGUAAACCCUCACACCUGCGAUGUCAAAGUCGUGGGAGGUGGACUUGGACCGUGCCGUAGUCGGCUCGUCCUUUGAAAUGCAUUAGCUUGCGCUGGUUAGAGUGCUCGGCAUGGUGUGAUAAUUAUCUGCGCCGUCGCCUUAGGCCUCUUCUGUGUGCGCUGCUUCCAACGGUCCCUCGAGGACAACAUAUUUUAAAGCUUUGGCCUCAAAUCAGGUAGGACUACCCGCUGAACUUAA
rnacentral:misc_RNA from 1 species